rnacentral:rRNA from 1 species
UACGUAGGGUGCAAGCGUUGUCCGGAAUUAUUGGGCGUAAAGAGCUCGUAGGCGGUCUGUUGCGUCGGCUGUGAAAACCCGGGGCUCAACUCCGGGCCUGCAGCCGAUACGGGCAGACUAGAGUUCGGCAGGGGAGACUGGAAUUCCUGGUGUAGCGGUGAAAUGCGCAGAUAUCAGGAGGAACACCGGUGGCGAAGGCGGGUCUCUGGGCCGAUACUGACGCUGAGGAGCGAAAGCGUAGGGAGCGAACAGG